GGGCGAGAGGUGGGGGAAGGGGCCGGCGCGGAACAACAGCUCCAGGCCGGGGCCGCCCCCUGUGUGCCCUCUGCGCUCAGCCUCGCCGGCCUCCCCCAGGGUUUGGGCAGCGGCGGGCCACCUCAGAGGACGCGGGCUCCUCCUUACGAGAAGCUGUCACAUGUCCACGAAGUCCCUGCCCGGGGACGCCCCGCCUCUGCUGCCCGAGGUUCGCCGGGCCGUUCGCAGCUUUCGGAGCAUCGGUCCCGGGCUGCUCCGGGCUCCGGGCUCCGGCAACACGGGGAGCCUUUUUCGCCCUGCAGCGCCACUCGCCCCGGGGCCUGGCCGAGCCCCUCCCUCCCAGCCGGUCCCGGCCUCUGCGGGCGGCGACUCCGCAGGGCGGCGGCCCGUCGCAGCCUGCAGGCCCCGGCGGGGAGGGAAGGGCGGGCGGCAUUUUUCAGUCCUCAGGAGAAGCGCCUGCGGGUUCGGAAGCUCCAGCCCUCGGGCCUAAAGCCCCGGCUGCCGCCCAGUUCACAAGCAGACAAAGGGAGCCGAGGAGCAGCGCCCGCCUGCCCCCGCCGCCGCCUGCACCUGGCUCUCGUCCCCUCACGAAUCCUCGCAGGAACCCUGCAGCGGGUGUAUCGAUAUUCCAGUCCUGGCAAUGAGGAAACCAAGAUGGAGGGAGGCUCCUGAGUGCAGGGGUCACGUCUUGACUGUAACUGCAGCAUUUAGCUGAAAUGCCAAGGUCCAGCUCCCAGGAUGCCAGCGUUCCCCAGGAACUCCACGGGGAAACCACCCAACUAGAGUUGGGAAGUUAAAAGAAGAUUAGCUUUGAGCUAACAUCUGCCACCAAUCCUCCUCUU